AUUGAACGCUGGCGGCAUGCUUUACACAUGCAAGUCGAACGGUAACAGGCCUUCGGGUGCUGACGAGUGGCGUACGGGUGAGUAAUGCAUCGGAACGUACCCAGAGGUGGGGGAUAACGCAGCGAAAGCUGUGCUAAUACCGCAUGUGAUCUGAGGAUGAAAGCGGGGGACCGAGCAGCAAUGUUUGGCCUCGCGCCUUUGGAGCGGCCGAUGUCGGAUUAGCUAGUUGGUGGGGUAAAGGCCUACCAAGGCGACGAUCCGUAGCUGGUCUGAGAGGACGACCAGCCACACUGGGACUGAGACACGGCCCAGACUCCUACGGGAGGCAGCAGUGGGGAAUUUUGGACAAUGGGCGCAAGCCUGGUCCAGCAAUGCCGCGUGCGGGAAGAAGGCCUUCGGGUUGUAAACCGCUUUUGGCAGGAACGAAACGGUGUCCGCUAAUACCGGGCGCUAAUGACGGUACCUGCAGAAUAAGCACCGGCUAACUACGUG
rnacentral:rRNA from 1 species